rnacentral:misc_RNA from 1 species
CAACCCUCAAGCCUAGCUUGGUGUUGGGCCCUGCCCGUUGCGGCCGGCCCUAAAGUCAGUGGCGGCGCCGUCUGGCUCUAAGCGUAGUACAUCUCUCGCUCUAGGGUCCUACGGUGGCUUGCCAGAACCCCCCAACUCCUAU